CUUUUCUAGCCGAAUUUGAACAAAAGAAAAAAAGGAAGAAAGCUAGCUAGGUUCGGCCAUUGUUGUGUUUAAAUUUAAGAUCAAGAAACGAAGAAAACGAAUUUGGAUCGGGGAAAAACGAAAGUAAUCGAAUAGUCGAUCGUGUCCGCUGAUAUCCGAGAUUUUGGAGACGCGUUACGAGCUCGGGGAUCAUCAGCAUAGUCUAUCACACUAUCGACCGUCCUUGGUAUUUUAUAUAUUUUGAACUCGAACCUAUAGCAUGUAUAGUCUAGUUAAUAUGUUUAAAUUUUUUUUGAUAUGUGAAUAUGAGCCAUGCGAAAAUGGCUUGUCACUUUUCGUUUUGAAUUUGGUAUUAACGAAUAUGUUUUAAUGGUCUA